rnacentral:rRNA from 1 species
AUUGAACGCUGGCGGCAUGCUCUACACAUGCAAGUCGGACGGCAGCGGGGAGUGCUUGCACUCUGCCGGCGAGUGGCGAACGGGUGAGUAAUGCAUCGGAACGUACCGAGUAAUGGGGGAUAACUGUCCGAAAGGACAGCUAAUACCGCAUACGCCCUGAGGGGGAAAGCGGGGGAUCUUAGGACCUCGCGUUAUUCGAGCGGCCGAUGUCUGAUUAGCUAGUUGGUGGGGUAAAGGCCUACCAAGGCGACGAUCAGUAGCGGGUCUGAGAGGACGAUCCGCCACACUGGGACUGAGACACGGCCCAGACUCCUACGGGAGGCAGCAGUGGGGAAUUUUGGACAAUGGGCGCAAGCCUGAUCCAGCCAUGCCGCGUGUCUGAAGAAGGCCUUCGGGUUGUAAAGGACUUUUGUCAGGGAAGAAAAGGCGGGUGCUAAUACCAUCUGCUGAUGACGUACCUGAAGAAUAAGCACCGCA